rnacentral:piRNA from 1 species
GAAAUGCCAUCUCCAGCUCCUACAGCUCCAC